rnacentral:rRNA from 1 species
AUUGAACGCUGGCGGCAGGCUUAACACAUGCAAGUCGAGCGGGGUGAUGGUGCUUGCACUAUCACUUAGCGGCGGACGGGUGAGUAAUGCUUAGGAAUCUGCCUAUUAGUGGGGGGCAACAUUUCGAAAGGAAUGCUAAUACCGCAUACGUCCUACGGGAGAAAGCAGGGGAUCCUCGGACCUUGCGCUAAUAGAUGAGCCUAAGUCGGAUUAGCUAGUUGGUGGGGUAAAGGCCUACCAAGGCGACGAUCUGUAGCGGGUCUGAGAGGAUGAUCCGCCACACUGGGACUGAGACACGGCCCAGACUCCUACGGGAGGCAGCAGUGGGGAAUAUUGGACAAUGGGCGCAAGCCUGAUCCAGCCAUGCCGCGUGUGUGAAGAAGGCCUUAUGGUUGUAAAGCACUUUAAGCGAGGAGGAGGCUACUUUAGUUAAUACCUAGAGAUAGUGGACGUUACUCGCAGAAUAAGCACCGGCUAACUCUGUGCCAGCAGCCGCCGUAA